rnacentral:rRNA from 1 species
GACGAACGCUGGCGGCGUGCUUAACACAUGCAAGUCGAACGAUGAACCCGGAGCUUGCUCCGGUGGAUUAGUGGCGAACGGGUGAGUAACACGUGAGUAACCUGCCCUUGACUCUGGGAUAACUGCGGGAAACUGUAGCUAAUACCGGAUACGACCCUCGGCGGCAUCGCCAGGGGGUGGAAAGAAGUUCGGUCAAGGAUGGACUCGCGGCCUAUCAGCUAGUUGGUGAGGUAACGGCUCACCAAGGCGACGACGGGUAGCCGGCCUGAGAGGGUGACCGGCCACACUGGGACUGAGACACGGCCCAGACUCCUACGGGAGGCAGCAGUGGGGAAUAUUGCACAAUGGGCGCAAGCCUGAUGCAGCAACGCCGCGUGAGGGAUGACGGCCUUCGGGUUGUAAACCGCUUUCAGGAGGGACGAAGCCACUCAGGUUAAUAGCCGAGAGGGUGACGGUACCUCCAGAAGAAGCCCCGGCUAAC